rnacentral:rRNA from 1 species
CCUACGGGAGGCAUCAGUGGGGAAUAUUGGGCAAUGGGCGCACGCCUGACCCAGCAACGCCGCGUGAAGGACGAAGGCUUUCGGAUUGUAAACUUCUUUUAUCAGGGACGAACCAAGUGCCGGUACCUGACGAAUAAACCACGGCUAACUACGUGCCAGCAGCCGCGGUAAUACGUAGGUGGCAAGCGUUAUCCGUAGUUCUUGGGUGUAAAGGGCGUGUAGGCGGGAAUGCAAGUCAUAUGUGAAAACUAUGGGCUCAACCCAUAGCCUGCAUUUGAAACUGUCUUUCUUGAGUGCUGGAGAGGCAAUCGGAAUUCCGGGUGUAGCGGUGAAAUGCGUAGAUAUACGGAGGAACACCAGUGGCGAAGGCGGAUUGCUGGACAGUAACUGACGCUGAGGCGCGAAAGCGUGGGGAGCAAACAGGAUUAGAUACCCUGGUAGUC